GACGAACGCUGGCGGCGUGCUUAACACAUGCAAGUCGAACGGUAAGGCCCUUCGGGGUACGCGAGUGGCGAACGGGUGAGUAACACGUGGGUGAUCUGCCCUGCACUUCGGGAUAAGCCUGGGAAACUGGGUCUAAUACCGGAUAGGACCACUGCCUGCAUGGGUGGUGGUGGAAAGCUUUUGCGGUGUGGGAUGGGCCCGCGGCCUAUCAGCCUGUUGGUGGGGUGAUGGCCUACCAAGGCGACGACGGGUAGCCGGCCUGGGAGGGUGACCGGCCACACUGGGACUGAGAUACGGCCCAGACUCCUACGGGAGGCAGCAGUGGGGAAUAUUGCACAAUGGGCGCAAGCCUGAUGCAGCGACGCCGCGUGAGGGAUGACGGCCUUCGGGCUGUAAACCUCUUUCAGCACCGACGAAGCGCAAGUGACGGUAGGUGCAGAAGAAGGACCGGCCAACUACGUGCCAGCCGCCGCUGUAA
rnacentral:rRNA from 1 species